AGAUGCGAUCAUACCAGCACUAAAGCACCGGAUCCCAUUAGAACUCCGAAGUUAAGCGUGCUUGGGCAAGAGUAGUACUAGGAUGGGUGACCUCCUGGGAAGUCCUCGUGUUGCAUUCA
rnacentral:rRNA from 2 species